CUACGGGUUGCUGCAGUGAGGAAUAUUGCACAAUGGGGGGAGCCCUGAUGCAGCAACGCCGCGUGGAGGAUGACGCAUUUCGGUGUGUAAACUCCUUUUAUAUGUCAAGAAAAUGACGGUAGCAUAUGAAUAAGCACCGGCUAACUCCGUGCCAGCAGCCGCGGUAAUACGGAGGGUGCAAGCGUUACUCGGAAUCACUGGGCGUAAAGGACGCGUAGGCGGGUUGGAAAGUCAGGUGUGAAAUCCUACAGCUUAACUGUAGAACUGCACUUGAAACUUCUAAUCUAGAGUAUGGGAGGGGGGGAUGGAAUUAGUGGUGUAGGGGUAAAAUCCGUAGAUAUCACUAGGAAUACCUAAAGCGAAGGCGAUCUCCUGGAACAUUACUGACGCUAAGGCGUGAAAGCGUGGGGAGCAAACAGGAUUAGAUACCCCGGUAGUC
rnacentral:rRNA from 1 species